GCUGUUCGAACAACCAAAAAGAAAAAUCGGUUUACGUGGAAGAGAUCAAAUAAUUCUAGUAAAUAAUAACUCAAUACACUAAUUAUUGUUACUUUAGAUUGUUAAAAAUAUAUUAUAUAUAAAUUGUGCACAAGAAGUAUCAUGAUUGAAGUAACCGAUUUACAAAAAAUCGGCAUAGGCCUGGCUGGUUUUGGUGUCUCCUUUCUAUUUUUGGGUGUGCUAUUUCUUUUUGAUAAAGGAUUAUUAGCAAUCGGCAAUUUACUUUUCCUAAGCGGUCUUGCCUGCGUAAUUGGGGUCCAGCGUACAUUCCGGUUUUUCUUUCAAAGGCAUAAAGUUAAAGGAACUACAGCCUUUUUUGGCGGAAUUUUUGUAGUACUACUUGGUUUUCCUAUGAUUGGUAUGGUUAUUGAACUGUAUGGAUUCUUUGUGUUAUUCAGCGGAUUCUUCCCAGUGGCAAUCAAUUUCUUGGGACGAGUGCCUGUGUUAGGUUCUGUUCUGAAUGCUCCAUUUAUCCAAAAGCUUGUACAAAAACUUGGUGGUGAUGGUAAUCGAACGACGGUAUAGUAGAACUCCAAACAGAUUUUCAACUAAGGAUAAUUUUAAUAUACUAGUUUAUUUCUCCGAUGGCUUAAAUGUAAAGAGCUAGCUAUUUUGUAUAAAAAUACCAGAUUCCACUUUCACAUGAAAAUACCCGACUUAAUGGCGAUUUUUGUAUGCUCAAUUUGAAAACGGACAUACUAAUUUGCAUAUUCUGUGGUUGCAACAAAGGUGACGGCGAGUGCGGCAUAUGAGCGAUGUGUAUACUUUCUAAAAAAAAAAAAACAUCAAUAAAAGAAAUUAAUAACAAAUUAUAGUUGUUAAAAGUUUCAUGUUUACAUACCCAUAUCGCAAAAUUUACCAAUAGUCCAUUUUAGCAGACUUAGCAGAGGAAAUUCUAAAAUUUUACGCCGCAAUACUUCGACAACCAAAUUCACCAUGUAGAUACAAAGGCGCAACUACAAGAAAAUAAUUAAUAAUUUGAAUAAAAAUCUUUUAAAAUUGUUUUACCGUUGUGAAAACCACGUAAUAAACCAAUACCGUUGGAAACAAAAAGAGUAGCGAAGUAAAGAAUAUAGUGGCAAGAUACAACUGUCGGUUAACAUAAUUAUGUGACUCCACGCGAUCUGCAAGUCAUGCUUAUUUAGCUAAAUUAGAUGUGUGAAUUAUUAAACUAUAUUUACUUUUAAGUACAUUGUAACGUUUGCCCAGCAUUACCUUCCAAAGUACUUGAAUACCUCUAAUCUCCACUUUGUACAAUCUAAUUAAACACAAAUUAUUUGUUAUUGAAAUUUCCAUAUACAAUGGGCAACUUACACUGCUGUGUAAAUAUAGAAGCAAUGCGCAUGCAAGCCGAUAAUGGACAUCAACAUCGGCAAAGACGCUAAUUGAAAAGAGAUUCCUAUGAAACCAAGCAUGGCAAUUGGCACAAAGAGUUGACGCACGAUUGGUUCGAUAAGAUCU